rnacentral:lncRNA from 1 species
GCGUGGUGGCAACUUGUCUAUUUCACGUAUUUUAACCCUUGUUUACACCACAUGCUGUAGGUACUAUCAUUGCCCCAUUUUACAGAUGAAGAAACAGAGGCUUCGGCCGCUUGCCCGAGAUCCUGCGGCUGUUCUGGAGGUCAGACGUCUAAAAUCAAGGUGUCAACAGGACUGCGUUCCUUUCUGGAGGAAACAGGUGAACCCAUUUCCUUGCCUUUUUCAGCGUCUAGCAACCGCCUACAUUCCUUGGCUUGUGGCCCCUUCCUUGCAAUCACUGCAGCCUCUGCCUCUGUCACUGUGUCUCCUUCUCUAACUCUGACCCUCCCACCUGGCUCUUAUUUUUUUUAUUUUUUAUUUUUUGAGACAGAGUUUCACUCUUGUUGCCCAGGCUGGAGUACAAUGGCGUGAUCUCGCUCACUGCAACCUCCGCCUCCCAGGUUCAAGCGAUUAUCCUGCCUCAGCCUCCCAAGUAGCUGGGAUUACAGGCGUGUACCACCAUGCCCAGCUAAUAUUUUGUAUUUUUAGUAGAGACAGGGUUUCACCAUGUUGGCCAGCCUGGUUUCAAACUCACGACCUCAGGUGAUCCUUGGCUUCCCAAAAUGCUGGGAUUACAGGCAUAAGCCACCAUGCCCGGCCUCCACCUCCCUCUUAUAAAGACCCUUGUGAUGAUAUUGGGCAUAUCCAGAUAAUCCGAGAUACCCCCCCA